UGAUCUAACCAUGCCGCGUGAGUGAUGAAGGCCUUAGGGUCGUAAAGCUCUUUCGCCAGAGAUGAUAAUGACAGUAUCUGGUAAAGAAACCCCGGCUAACUCCGUGCCAGCAGCCGCGGUAAUACGGAGGGGGUUAGCGUUGUUCGGAAUUACUGGGCGUAAAGCGUACGUAGGCGGAUUAGUAAGUUAGGGGUGAAAUCCCGAGGCUCAACCUCGGAACUGCCUCUAAAACUGCUAGUCUUGAGUUCGAGAGAGGUGAGUGGAAUUCCGAGUGUAGAGGUGAAAUUCGUAGAUAUUCGGAGGAACACCAGUGGCGAAGGCGGCUCACUGGCUCGAUACUGACGCUGAGGUACGAAAGUGUGGGGAGCAAACAGGAUUAGAUACCCUGGUAGUCCACACCGUAAACGAUGAAUGCCAGUCGUCGGGUAGCAUGCUAUUCGGUGACACACCUAACGGAUUAAGCAUUCCGCCUGGGGAGUACGGUCGCAAGAUUAAAACU
rnacentral:rRNA from 1 species